GGGAGGGAGUGACAGAGUAAGGGGGUGACUAGUGACAGAGUUAGGGAGGGAGUGACUAGUGACAGAGUUAGGGAGGGAGUGACUAGUGACAGAGAGAGGGAUGGGGUGACUAGUGACAGUCACCCCCCCUCACUCUGUCACCAGUCAUCCCCUCUCUCUGUCACUAAUCACCCCUUCCCUCCCUCACUUUGCCACUAGUCAUCUCUUCCCUCCCUCACUCUGCCACUAGUCACCCAUUCACUCACUCUGUCACUAGUCCCUCACUCUGUCGCCAGUCACCCCCACUCACUGUGUCUCCCCCUCACUCUGCCACCACUCAACCCCUCCC